rnacentral:rRNA from 1 species
GACGAACGCUGGCGGCGGGCUUAACACAUGCAAGUCGAACGGAAAAGCCCUGCUUUUGUGUGGUGCCAGAGUGGCGAACGGGUGAGUAACACAUGAGUAACCUGGCCUGGGCUUUGGGAUAACUUCAGGCAACUGGGGCUAAUACCGGAUAGGAGCUCCUGCUGCAUGGUGGGGGUUGGAAAGUUUCGGCGGUGGGGGAUGGACGUAGGGGUUAUCAGCUUGUUGGUGGGGUAAUGGCCUACCAAGGCUUUGACGCGUAGCCGGCCUGAGAGGAUGAUCAGUCACAUGGGAACGGAGACACGGUCCAGACUCCUACGGGAGGCAGCAGUGGGGAAUAUUGGACAAUGGGCGAAAGCCUGAUACAGUCAGGCCGCGUGUGUGAAGAAGGUCUUCGGAUUGUAAAGCACUUUAAGUUGGGAGGAAGGGCAGUAAGUUAAUACCUUGCUGGUUUGACGUUACCAACUGAAUAAGCACCGGCUAACUUCGUG